CCGGCUAAUUUUGUAUUUUUAGUAGAGACGGGGUUUCUCCCUGUUGGUCAGGUUGGUCCCGAACUCCUGAUCUCAGGUGAUCCACCUGCCUUGGCCUCUCAAAGUGCUGAGAUGACAGGCAUGAGCCCGGCCUAUAUUUAUUUAUUUUAUCACAUUAUUAUAUAGUGUUCUUUUACAAAAAUUACUUAUUUUCGUAAGCCCAGCCUGUAGGUCAGGCUGGAGUGCAGUGGUGGGAUCAUUAGCUCACUGCAGCCUUGAACUCCUGGACUCAGUGAUCCUCCUGCUUCAGCCUCCGAGUAGCUGGGACUACAGGCACAUGCCACCACGCCUGGCCUUUUCCCAUUUUUUUGGUAGAGGGAGUCUCCAGGCUGGUCUCAAACUCCUGGGCUCAAACAAUCCUCCCGCCUUUUUUUGUAGAGAUAGGGGUCUCACUAUGCUGGCGUGGCUGGGGGGCCAGGGAUUUUAAUGGGUUUAGAGUGGAUUGAGGUGCAGGGAUUUUUCAUGGGUUGAAGAGUGCAGGGUGAAGUCAUAGGAUGGGGUGAUGAAGAAGCUAUUUUCAUGCGGACUCGGUUCCUCUGUGGGGUCUUCAAACUGGUUUCCGUCAGCCGUUUCACUAGAAUGCAGGGUCUGAAAAGCAUC
rnacentral:lncRNA from 1 species